GAGGGCAUAGCUCAGUGGUAGAGCGCUUGCUUAGCAUGCACAAGGUCUGGGUUCAAUCCUCAGUGCCCCCA
rnacentral:tRNA from 1 species